rnacentral:rRNA from 1 species
AACGCGAAGAACCUUACCCAGACUUGACAUGCCUGAAAUCCUUCAGAGAUGAGGGAGUGCCCGCAAGGGAAUCAGGACACAGGUGCUGCAUGGCUGUCGUCAGCUCGUGUCGUGAGAUGUUGGGUUAAGUCCCGCAACGAGCGCAACCCUCGCCUUUAGUUGCCAGCAUUCAGUUGGGCACUCUAGAGGGACUGCCGGUGUCAAGCCGGAGGAAGGUGGGGAUGACGUCAAGUCCUCAUGGCCUUUAUGUCUGGGGCUACACACGUGCUACAAUGGUCGGUACAGAGGGUCGCAAAGCCGCAAGGUGGAGCCAAUCCCAGAAAACCGACCCCAGUUCGGAUCGAAGUCUGCAACUCGACUUCGUGAAGUCGGAAUCGCUAGUAAUCGCGGAUCAGAACGCCGCGGUGAAUACGUUCCCGGGCCUUGUACACACCGACGCAC